GGGGAUUUGGCUCAGUGGUAGAGCAUGUACUUUAAGAUGCACAACAUUGUGGGUUCAAUCCCCA
rnacentral:tRNA from 1 species